CCCGGACUAUGGCGAUAAACGCACCUGUAAUAGACGGCUCGGACCCGGGGGCGGUACCCGGCGACUCCACCAAACCUCCCGUGCAUUGGCGGGCGAUGGGGUCGAAAUUAGGAUCGACGGACGUUCAAAGAGGCCAGCUUUCGCUCGGUGAGGUACCACCGUUAUCGGUCCAAGAUCACAGUUGCCAAUGACAACCGUGCUCCGGCUUUCGCUCUGGCUGCGUAAGCAGCUCGAGUAAGCCAAACCUAAGUCCUUAUGGGUAGCACCGUAAGGCGGGGCCCCCAGGAGCCUGGCAACAGAAU
rnacentral:tmRNA from 1 species